GACGAACGCUGGCGGCGUGCUUAACACAUGCAAGUCGAACGGUAAGGCCCUUCGGGGUACACGAGUGGCGAACGGGUGAGUAACCCGUGGGUGAUCUGCCCUGCACUUCGGGAUAAGCCUGGGAAACUGGGUCUAAUACCGGAUAGGACCACUGCCUGCAUGGGUGGUGGUGGAAAGCUUUUGCGGUGUGGGGAUGGGCCCGCGGCCUAUCAGAUUGUUGGUGGGGUGAUGGCCUACCAAGGCGACGACGGGUAGCCGGCCUGAGAGGGGGACCGGCCAUAUUGGGACUGUGAUGCGGCCCAGACUCCUGCGGGAGGCAUCAGAGGGGAAUAUUGCCCGAUGGGCGCAAGCCUGAUGCAGCGACGCCGCGUGAGUGAUGACGGCCUUCGGGUUGUAAACCUCUUUCAGCACCGACGAAGCGCAAGUGACGGUAGGUGCAGAAGAAGGACCGGCCAACUACGUGCCAGCCGCCGCAGUAA
rnacentral:rRNA from 1 species